rnacentral:tRNA from 1 species
GGGCUCGUAGCUCAAGGGUAGAGCGUCUCGUUCACAGCGAGAAGGUUGCUGGUUCGAGUCCAGCCGAGCCCAUCA